UCAUGGUGCAAAGUACAUGACUCCCACUCACCUGUCAAUCUGGCACAGCCCUGAUACGCCUCCAAAAAUCUACAGCUGGCAGUGGGGAACUUCUUCCUCUUGUUUCCUAGCUUCUUGCCCAACUGUGACAUGCAUUUACAAUACAUUUAGUCUUGUAUCAAGGGCUAUAAUCUACGUGCCAAUUAUAAUAUAGGGAACUUUAAUUGAUUCAACUCCCCCGUUUCCUAAAUCUUUUCUUUUCUUUCUCUUUUUCUUUUUCUAUUAAUUAAUUCAUCAUUUAUGUGUAUUAGGGACUCCCUUGCACGAGUACAAGGUCUCCCUUAGCCUAAUCUAGGCUUAAUACCCUAUUAUGGCAUGAAAUCCCUUAUUUUCCACCCAGAUGAACAGUAACCCGAACUGACAGUGGGUUACUUCAUCCCGGUUUUGAUCCACUUUCAGGACUCCAAAUUUGAUGAAAUUUUUACCUAACAUUCUACACUCACAGAGGAUUCCAAAGAGAUAACAUGCAUCAUCAUCGGAGCCGUUUG
rnacentral:lncRNA from 1 species